UUUAAAAGCAAGACACGUGUCUUUCACACCUGCCAUUGAGGACAGUCAUUUAUGAAACUUGACCCUCUGCACUGCUCCUCAAGACUUCUUAACGCAACCACCUUACAGCAGUUAAUUCACUUAUCCCUGCUAAGGACUAUUUUGAUUUAAGAAACUCUGCUAUAUCCUAUUUCCUACAACUGACGAGUCUUUCGUAGCCUGGGUCGGUUCAAAGCGCGUAGGCUAUUACUGCUAGCCAGAGUUUGCACGAUUUCCACAGGCGCUAUUCACCUGUGUAUGUGUUGAAAAACGAAAUGUCAGAAUAUUACCAAAGCACCCUGGACGUUUUGCGCUAUACUACCUAUAAAGUCUCGUAAUGAACGAACCGAGCGAGUAUUUAAUAUUUAAUUGUACUUUCAAGCAAAUAAGCAACUAAGCUUCGAUAUAAUUUGGCAAAGAAAAUCAACGACUUAUGUUCACUAAUCCAAGUUGAGUUGUGCAUUUUCCUUGGAGAAAAGCUGCAUACCCAUAGAUCGUCUGAAAGGUAUUUUCGAAAGGAUUAAAAUAUGAUGGUUGCUAGAUGACACAGAUAUUCUGCUGACCCUGGAUUGGACCAAAGACAUCCUGGUAUACCACACUGUAAUCUUUGUGAAAUCCAUAUUGUCGAUAAUUAUUAAGUGUUUGGAGGGUAUUGUAUUGGAAUAAUAUUGAAAUGACAUGUUUCAGAACUAAAAGUUGGUGAAAAAAAACCAAUGUAACUGUAGUGGUAAUACAUACCAAUUUUGAGCCCUUUGGAUUGUCAGUCACAUAUUGAUUUCCUCUUUCAAAUGACUUGACUUGAGCUAAGGUGACAGCCUUGAAAAUUAGAUUCUUUCUCCUUGGGGAUUCUGUUAGGCUGAUCAGCUCUAAACAAAUAAAGACCAAGCACCCCCAACAGUCUAUGCAAGACCUUCAAAUACUGCACACUCCUCUCUUUAGUGGACUUAAAACAAAGAAACCAAUAAAAACAAGUUGAGCCUGGAAUGCAGCAUGUGAAUGCAUUUAUAGUAGAACGUUGAAUGCAACUGACCAGGGAGAUUGCUCAAGAGGUUCUCUCUGGUACAGCACCCUGGUAGCACUACGAAAAACUCAGAAAGAUGACACUGCGUAGUGAAGGCAUGGAUGCAGCAAAGCUUAGAAGUACCUGGAAAAUGGAUUCAUUUGAGAAGGGUGUUAUUGCGAUGGAAGAUGGAUUGGAGUCUGGCUUAUUUUGCCAGGGGAGACUCCACAUUUCCAGACUGGCCUGCAGUCGGGGGAUUACACUGCUCUGCACUGUUCAAACUGUUUAUGCAUACCAGCCUGCUCUGAGUGCCUCUUUGUCGCGAGCUGUUUACAUGAACUUAUUUUGGGAAAAUUCCACAGGACUGGACAGGAUUUCACCAUAAAUCAUUGAAUCUGCAGCUUUGUGUAAUGAUAACUUCUGUCAGUCAUUUAUUCUUUGGGACAGGGUUCUUAACAGUGCACAAAUAUGUAAAAAGCAGAGAAGUUUGUGUGUGCAUGUGUGUGUGUGUGUGUGUGUGUGUGUGCAUGCAUGCAUGUCUGUUUCUGUGUGUGUGUGUGUG